ensembl:lncRNA RC3H1-DT RC3H1 divergent transcript
GGAGACCGGCGACGCUCUCCGCCGCGACCGAAAGUCUCACACGCCCUGAGCAGAUGAACCGGUCCCUCGGUCCGGUCUGCCCUCCCGCACCGGCGCCUUUGGGCUCAGCGGGCCAGUGGCCAGAUGGCGAGAGUUCUGGAUCUCAUCAGCUUUGUCCUCGUCACCCCUCUGGGAGUUCAGCCUCCUAAGGCUGUGAAACAGCCCAAAAGGCCCGGACACGCUACUCCAAAACGUCUCUCCUGGGCUGUGUGAACAAUAAGAGCUAUUUGGGGACGACAGGAAAAGAUAUGGCCCAUAGAAGGGCUCCUGAAAUCUAACCUUGCGACUCUUUAAAA